AAGUCGUAACAAGGUUUCCGUAGGUGAACCUGCGGAAGGAUCAUUAACACGUAUCCACGUAUCAACCCUUGUGCUCUUUGUUCGAGAGAGGAAAGUGAGAAGCCAUAUAUAUGCCUUUCACGAGGUGUGUAUUGUCUCUCCUUUCCAAUCUUAUUUUUUUCAUUCUUAUUCUUUUAAACCCUUUGUACCAUUUCUUCUGAAACUUGAUUGCUUCCUUUCUUUUCGAAAGAAAAGGGGAUUCAAUUCAUUUUACGAAACGUUUGACAACUCUUAGCAACGGAUAUCUUGGUUCUC
rnacentral:misc_RNA from 1 species